rnacentral:misc_RNA from 1 species
UCCCGGUUAACCCGGGCAGUCUCCCUAGAGUUCUCACCAUUACGUGUUAGUAACUAAGGAUAAGGGUUGCGCUCGUUCGAGGACUUAACCUCACACCUCACGGCACGAGCUGACGACGACCAUGCACCACCUGUAUUUUGGUUUUAUCUUGCGAUAAAAAGACUAUAUCUCUAUAGUGGUCCAAUAUAUGUCAAGAGUGGGUAAGGUUCUACGCGUGACUUCGAAUUAAACCACAUGCUCCACCGCUUGUGCGGGUCCCCGUCAAUUCCUUUAAGUUUCACUCUUGCGAGCAUACUCCUCAGGCGGCUUGUUUAACGCGUUAGCUAUCGCUAGUGACUUCGCCACCAGCCAACAAGCAUCGUUUACGGCGUGGACUAC